rnacentral:lncRNA from 1 species
GGCUGAUGCUGCUCACCUCAACCAGGGAUGGCUCAGGAGCAGCUUCUGGGGCUGGGCAUCCUGGGAGAGAAGAACCUGGAGAGCCACCACCACCUCCUGCUUCCGAGCAUCAUUUGCAGCUCAGGAGAGCUCGUUGAGAAGCUGGGCGUGUUAAUAAGUUCUUGCAGUUUUGGAAACAUAAGGGGGAAAAUAAAUGGAUGUUUGCAGAUGAAGGAGAAAAUUAUCCUCUUUUUUCUGAUGUUGGGGAGAAUUCAAAAACAAUGAGGAGAUAAAGAGACAAGAUACUAUAAGAAUUGAUUUUACAAGAUUUGAUGGAGAGAUAAAAGAUUAUGGGAUAAUACAGAAUAUAGAAAACAUAGAAACCAUUGGGAGAAAUCUACAUCUCUGUCAUUUGUCACCUCUAUUGAGUCCCAUGGAAACUCCAGGAAAUUCUUCAGUGGAAGUUAUUGAAAUCCAUAUGAAAUCUGGGGGUUGGAAAUCUGAAAAUUUUUCAUUGCAGCAACAGAAACCCUCAGAACUGAUAAGAAAUUAAGACUGGAAUAAAGGUCUCUCAACUUGUCUAGACUGGAGCUGC